GACGAACGCUGGCGGCGUGCUUAACACAUGCAAGUCGAACGGUAAGGCCCUUCGGGGUACACGAGUGGCGAACGGGUGAGUAACACGUGGGUGAUCUGCCCUGCACUUCGGGAUAAGCCUGGGAAACUGGGUCUAAUACCGGAUAGGACCACUGCCUGCAUGGGUGGGGGGGGAAAGCUUUUGCGGUGUGGGAUGGGCCCGCGGCCUAUCAGCUUGUUGGUGGGGUGAUGGCCUACCAAGGCGACGACGGGUAGCAGGCCUGAGAGGGUGACCGGCCACACUGGGACUGAGAUACGGCCCAGACUCCUACGGGAGGCAGCAGUGGGGAAUAUUGCACAAUGGGCGCAAGCCUGAUGCAGCGACGCCGCGUGAGGGAUGACGGCCUUCGGGUUGUAAACCUCUUUCAGCACCGACGAAGCGCAAGUGACGGUAGGUGCAGAAGAAGGACCGGCCAACUACGUGCCAGCCGCCGCCGUAAUAC
rnacentral:rRNA from 1 species